GUCUUCGUGGUGUAGUGGUCAGCACGCUCGACGCGUAACCGAGAGGUCCGUGGUUCGAACCCCGGUGAAGGCG
rnacentral:tRNA from 1 species